rnacentral:rRNA from 1 species
GAUGAACGCUGGCGGCGUGCCUAAUACAUGCAAGUCGAGCGAACAGACGAGGAGCUUGCUCCUUUGACGUUAGCGGCGGACGGGUGAGUAACACGUGGGUAACCUACCUAUAAGACUGGGAUAACUUCGGGAAACCGGAGCUAAUACCGGAUAAUAUUUCGAACCGCAUGGUUCGAUAGUGAAAGAUGGCUCUGCUAUCACUUAUAGAUGGACCUGCGCCGUAUUAGCUAGUUGGUAAGGUAACGGCUUACCAAGGCAACGAUACGUAGCCGACCUGAGAGGGUGAUCGGCCACACUGGAACUGAGACACGGUCCAGACUCCUACGGGAGGCAGCAGUAGGGAAUCUUCCGCAAUGGGCGAAAGCCUGACGGAGCAACGCCGCGUGAGUGAUGAAGGUCUUCGGAUCGUAAAACUCUGUUAUUAGGGAAGAACAAACGUGUAAGUAACUGUGCACGUCUUGACGGUACCUAAUCAGAAAGCCACGGCUAACUACGUGC